UGAGGAAUAUUGGACAAUGGGUGAAAGCCUGAUCCAGCCAUCCCGCGUGAAGGAUGACGGUCCUAUGGAUUGUAAACUUCUUUUGUAUAGGGAUAAACCUAGAUACGUGUAUCUAGCUGAAGGUACUAUACGAAUAAGCACCGGCUAACUCCGUGCCAGCAGCCGCGGUAAUACGGAGGGUGCAAGCGUUAUCCGGAUUUAUUGGGUUUGAAGGGUCCGUAGGCGGGCCGAUAAGUCAGUGGUGAAAUCUCAUAGCUUAACUAUGAAACUGCCAUUGAUACUGUCGGUAUUAAGUAAAUUAGAGGUAGCUGGAAUAAGUAGUGUAGCGGUGAAAUGACUAAAUAAUACUUAGAAAACCAAUUGCGAAGGGAGGUUACAAGGAUUUAAAUGACGCUGAUGGGCGAAAGCGUGGGGAGCAAACA
rnacentral:rRNA from 1 species